rnacentral:misc_RNA from 1 species
GUAUUGUGUGAUGGAUCCCUGCUUGGGCAGCGACAUCAUCUCAUYCACGUCUUUUCAGUUUCAUGGCGUGAGCAUUGGCUCGCCCGAAGUUGGUUUCUUCCUGUGUUGAAUACCAGUAUUCAAGGCAUGAUGUUGGAUAAAUUGCCCAUUUCCCGCCUUGUGCUGCUGCCCCUUGCGGGGCAAGCGGUGCGGGGUGGGCCAAACAGCGCUAGCCGUGUGUCCCAUCUCAACGCCCUAUAAAAGGGCGUCGGGCUGAUGAUCCAUGGCAUGGAGCUCGUUCUCUUGGGUCCGGAACAUUGUGUGGGUACGGGGCCAUGGGCCUCGGAGCACCACAAUUAAGCGUUCUACGCUUCAUGCGAACGACUGUCGGUUCGGCCUCUGGCUGGACACUCGUGGCUKGNUUCASAGCCGUGCCGACGUCGAUGAGGAAUGCUACCU